GGAGAUGUAGCUUAGUAGUAGAGUACAUGCCUAUUUAGCAUGUGCAGGACCCUGAGUUAAAUUCCCAACUCCA
rnacentral:tRNA from 1 species